AUCUACGCGAUGUGAGUUAUUGUAAAAUGUACCAUUUUCUUAGGCAGGGGGAUAUUGUCACAAUCGCUUGUAUUUGUAUAUUUGUCAUAUGUGUCUGUAUAUAUUGUGACGUGUUGUUACUAUCUGUAUGGCGUAACGGAUGUUCCGUAGAGGGUGAGUGAGCGCGCACGAGCAGGAGCCAUGACAGUGUUCUAACAGGCCGUGUCGACGCAUUUGAGAUAUUUUAACAUUAUACGGGCACAGAAACCUUACAGUCUGUGCAAUAAUGUGGACUGGAGAGAGCUCGAGGUGAAGCCGGAUGGUCAAAACCGCCUGAGUCAUAUUACAGGACCAGAUGCUGCCAUACUGGACUUCAGUAAAUAAAAGCCCUAUGUUGAGGACAAGGCACCGUUUGCCGAAUCAUGGAGACCCAGAUAAACCUGACGGCGGGUUCUCAUUUGUCAGUGAUUGACAAUAUAUCUACAUUCAUCAUUCAUUCGAUGAUAUCAGCCGUCCGUGUAGGAGGCUGUGCAGACAGACAAAGUGUUAUUUAGUCUGUGAUUUUUCUUAUAGGAUAUUGCCACACGUGGGUAAACAUCAGACCAACAGACUGAUGUCCUAUAUAUAUGCAGCUGAUCUCCACCUAGUGGUUUCUGGAGCAUAGGAGACAUGUGCAGAGACAUUGUUAAGUGUGUGUAAGAUGUGAGAGUGUGACAUGAACAUUUGUAGUUAUCUUGCUGUAUUUUGUGUUGUGUUGUGUAUAUAAGUAUAUAAAUUUACUAUUGUUG